rnacentral:rRNA from 1 species
UCGCAUCUGUGCAUGCAGCAUAUCAAUAAGCGGAGGAAAAGAAACUAACAAGGAUUCCCUUAGUAACGGCGAGUGAAGCGGGAAGAGCUCAAAUUUGAAAUCUUCAAGGUUUUACCUUGACGAAUUGUAGUUUAAAGAAGUGUUUUCUGUUGAAGUUUUGGUAAAAGUUCUUUGGAAUAGGACAUCAUAGAGGGUGAGAAUCCCGUAUUUGACCAUUAUUUUCAGCUGUGUGAUACACUUUCAAAGAGUCGGAUUGUUUGGGAAUGCAGUCCAAAAUGGGUGGUAAAUUUCAUCUAAAGCUAAAUAUUGGCGAGAGACCGAUAGCGAACAAGUACCGUGAGGGAAAGAUGAAAAGAACUUUGAAAAGAGAGUUAAACAGUACGUGAAAUUGUCAAAAGGGAAGCGUUUGACACCAGUGUUGUUUUCUCGAAAAUCAAUUAAAAAGAGUUAGAUUUUGUUGUGUAUUGACCUUAACAGCUUGCAUUUCAAUUUUCUUGCUUUUUUUAAUGCACUUUUCGUCUAACAAGUCAACAUCAGUUUCUUUUGUUGUAAAAAGGUCAGUGGAAGGUGGCUUUCUUUUCGGAGAAAGUGUUUAUAGCCUUUGACUCCUGCAAUCGGAGAGACUGAGGUCUGCAGCGUAGAUCCUUCGGGGUUAGAUACAUUUGUGCUAAGUUAUAGCUUUUUAUAGACAACUUGUUGACUAUGAUUAGUCUUGUAGCUUACUCGCUUAUGCUAUUUUACCUACGCUUAGGAUGUUGAUGUGAUACUGCGAGCA